rnacentral:rRNA from 1 species
GACGAACGCUGGCGGCGUGCUUAACACAUGCAAGUCGAACGAGUGGCGAACGGGUGAGUAACGCAUCGGAACGUACCGAGUCAUGGGGGAUAACUGUCCGAAAGGAAAGCUAAUACCGCAUAUUCUUGGAGCGGACGAUGUCUGAUUAGCCAGUUGGCGGGGUAAAGGCCCACCAAGGCGACGAUCAGUAGCGGGUCUGAGAGGAUGAUCAGCCACACGGGGACUGAGACACGGCCCAGACUCCUACGGGAGGCAGCAGUGGGGAAUUUUGGACAAUGGGCGCAAGCCUGAUCCAGCCAUGCCGCGUGUCUGAAGAAGGCCUUCGGGUUGUAAAGGACUUUUGUCAGGGAAGCGGUACCUGAAGAAUAAGCACCGGCUAACUACGUGCCAGCAGCCGCGGUAAUUC